ACCGAUUAGGGACAAAAGGGGGGGAGCCACUUUCCCAGGGGAGGGCUUAUAUUUUUAAUCUCUCUGCAUUCUCUGGGUAGGUAGGGGCUCCGAUUAAAGGAACUUGUGUGAAGGAACUUCAAAAGGCCUCAGAAUAAGGGGGAGUUUCAGAGCCCCCCAUUCCAGCCUCAUUUUUCCAAGCAUCUCAUUAAAACGCUCAGAAAGUGCCCCCCCUUCCCCCGUCCCAGCAAAGGCUCCAUUUACCAGCCAAGAAGGAGAAGGCGGGAUCUGGGAAGGCAGACUCCCCCCUCCCCCCCAAGGACCCUACAUCAGAUCCCCCCACUAGCGUCAGCCCCCUACCGGACCGCACACACCGCUCAGGGCCCCAAGGGCUGGGCUGCCCCUCCACCUCCAGGGCCCAAUGUUUAGAAUGAGUCACGGUCCAGACCCAGAGCUCACCGGACCUUGGUCAAGGAGAGGUGGCCGGAGACGGCCCCAUGGCUGACCCCCGGAGUCGGGAAGGGUCAGCCUCAGAACCCAAAGGUCCCCGGGUCCCACCCCUGCCUUUUACAGAUGGGGAAACAGAGGCCCCAGUGAGCCCAGGGCUCCCCCAUGACUCCUCCAGUCUUCCCCACCCAGCCCCGACAAGAGCUCCUGGCUCCUGCCCCAGAAAGCAGGACCAUAUUCCCUUCUGUCUUUGCGUCCUUAACCCAAACAAACAGCUAAGUAAUGAAUGGAUCCCCUGGCGAGCCCCGAUCCAUGUUGCUGCUCAGAUCCGAGUUCUUUGCCUCAGCUUCCCCAUCUGCCUUAUGGAAUCUACCCCCAGAGCCUGCAUGCGAGAACACGGUAACGUUCCACGUGCCCCCUCAGCCACGGGGACCCCACGUCCCACAGGGCUGGCAGCCCAGCAGGCCCGGCCGCCGUCCGGGGCUCGGCUUUCCGGCCCAGACCAACCCUGCGGAGUUCCUGCUCGCUUUCUCAAGGCCUCUGGCCGUUCUCCAAGCCCAGGACCUGGCCUAUCUGGGGCCUCCGGGCGAGAGCCCAUCUCAGUCUGGCUCCUGCUCCCAAUGGCCUCCCAGUCCUUCUGACCAAGACUACCUGGGCUGCUUUCUCUUUCCCCACCCCAACGACCGGUACCAAUUGGGCCCAGCCCAGAAUUUCUGAAUUUAAGAGUGGAAAGGGCCCUUGGCGGCCAUCGAGUCUAACAUUGUUUGGGGCCCAGGGGAAGGUCAGUGAUUUACAUCCAGAGAGCCAUGGAAAUGGAGAGUCCCGCUGGCCCGCUAGUCGCCCGGAGAUCUGAAAGGCAUCGGCUCCGAUCCGGCCCCUGCCCGGGCCCUCCCGGAACCCGGGAUUAAUGACUACCCCGCCACGGCCUGGCGCCCCCCGCCCCAGCAGACUCUGCGUUCCUUGAGGACAGGCAGCCGCCCAGCCCAGACAAGGGCUUAGACAUGCCAGAGGAGCCUCCUUCCCGCUGACUCAGAGCCAGGGAGGAAGAGGCCUGGAGCCACUACUAAUUCGCCAGGAGCCCUGGAGACCGGACAGGACAGUGUGGAUCGGAGCUCCCCGACACGUUCUGGAAAAGAGCCCCUCGUUAAGAGCUCCUUCCCUCACAGACCCAGAAGGCUCCACGGCCCGGGAAGGGGGCCAGUUCUCUGCUGGAAAGCAGAGCCUGGAAGCCCAAACACACAGGGAGCCCGCUGGGAGGUUCUGGGAAGGAUCCGGAGUCAGGAAACCCAAAGCCCAGGCGGGAGCGCCAGGCCCGCUCGGAACGGAGCCCGUGACUGGGAUGCGAUGGACGGGCUGGCCCAAAGCCACGCUAAUAACCGGAAGGGAAGGGGUCCGCCCGCUGGGACCCGCGAGGGUCAGAGGUCAGUGGGUCCAGCCCAGUGGGUAUCCCACCCUGACCCAGCCGACCGCGGCUCAUCUUUGCACCUGCUUCCUCGUUUCUAAAUCGUGAGCCUGCGAUUGGCAAAAAGUCUGCUUCUUAAUCACUUGCCCCUCCUUCCGGGCUAAAAGCAGUGAACUUGGAGACUUUCACAUCCCCAGUGGGAGUCUGGUUUGGGGCAUCCAUGGGGGGCAGAUGGAGGAGGGGGGAGGGCUGAAGUCCCCCAAAAGGGGCUAAACCUGCUCCAAAGGGGCCGCCGUCACCAGGAGGCCAGUCCAGGCUUGACCUUAGGAGGUCCGGCCUCCCUCCCAGCAAAGGCCUGGCGGGAAUGGACUCCCAGAAAUCCAAGGCAGGGCAGAUGUCGGGUCCAGCUCCGAUCCUGGAAUUCUGUGCGCUGGUCCCUGCCCCAGGCCCCAGGUUCCAUCCCCCCAGCAGGGAUCAAGGGCCCUCCCAGCACCAGAGGCCCCGAGACCAGACAGCCCCAAGUAAAGCUGCGAUUAGUGGGGAGGAAAGGGACUUCAGGAGCCUGGGGGCCAUCUUGGCCCCCGAGAAUCUUCCCAAUGUCCUCCACAGAAAUGGGGCCCGACCUGAGGGCUCCAGGGCGGAAGGAAAAAGGGACGGAUCGAGCAGGAAAUUCCCUGAAAGGCUCUGAAAAAGGGUCCAUCUGUAAAGUGCGAAAACGGCCCCAACUGCAUCCAGUCAACAUGAGAGGGAUGGAAGCUGCCCUGGUUCUGUGAGCUGGACACACACGUACGGAGGUCUAUGAGUCCGGCUUUGAAGACCCCCAGGGAGCCGAGCUCAGAAGUGGACAAGCUGCCUCUCAACGCCGAGGACCAAGAGGUGGCAGCGCUUCCUUCCCCCAUCUUGCCUAGGAGGGGGUUCUGAAAGGCUAAGGCAGAAGCUAAGAAACUAGUAUGUGAACCCGGCUCUCUCCUGAUUCCAAGAACACCGCUCAAUCUGCCAGCCCAUCUUGCCAGCCCAUUUUACAGCAAAGAACUGGAGAUUGAAGAGAUGCUCAUCAAUUGGGGAAUGGCUGACCAAAUCGUGCUAUGUGAUUGUGAUGGAGAAUUAUUGUGUUAUCAGAAAUGAGCAAAAUGCUCAGAAAAAACCCUGGAAAGACUUCUAUGAACUGAUGAAAAGUGAAAUGCACAAGAUAAGAAAACUGAGGUCCUACAAAUCUGGAGGGAAAGAGCUUUCUCCAGCCUCCCACGCCAGACACAGCCACAAAGAGUCGCCCUCUGUGUCCCAGCCCACAGUCAUUCUCCGCUCAGUGAAACUGAAAAGUACAACUGGCAAACGCUGACAGCAGCAGCAGGCAAACUGCCACCACAACAAUCGCCUGGGUCUGGGCUGCCCAUUUUUGUCUUUAAAACACCUGACCUCGCCGUUAGCAAUUUGUUCCAAGUGGUGGAGUAUGUUGGCGGGGCCUGGGCGGUAAACUCAACACAGUAAAUGUUCAUUCAACAUGUCUGAGAGACAAAAGAUGAAGGGGAGGAGAUAAGGAAGAGGGAAGAGGGGAUAAGGAAAAGAGUAAAAGAGAAAGAAAAGAAGAAGGAAAAAGAAAAGGAGAAGAGGGUAAGAGGAAGGAAAG